rnacentral:tRNA from 1 species
GCUGUAACUCAGCUGGGAGAGCACCUGCUUUGCAAGCAGGGGGUCACCGGUUCGAUCCCGGUCAGCUCCACCA